rnacentral:rRNA from 1 species
ACGCUCGACACCUACUGGAGGCAGCAGUGGGGAAUAUUGCACAAUGGGGGAAACCCUGAUGCAGCGACGCCGCGUGGAGGAAGAAGGUCUUCGGAUUGUAAACUCCUGUUGUUGGGGAAAAANGGAUGGUACCCAACAAGGAAGUGACGGCUAACUACGUGCCAGUAGCCGCGGUAAUCUGAGCGGGCUGGCAAGGC